rnacentral:rRNA from 1 species
CGCGGCCUAUCAGCUUGUUGGUGAGGUAAUGGCUCACCAUGGCUUCGACGGGUAGCCGGCCUGAGAGGGUGACCGGCCACACUGGGACUGAGACACGGCCCAGACUCCUACGGGAGGCAGCAGUGGGGAAUAUUGGACAAUGGGCGGAAGCCUGAUCCAGCAACGCCGCGUGAGGGAUGACGGCCUUCGGGUUGUAAACCUCUUUCAGCAGGGACGAAGCGCAAGUGACGGUACCUGCAGAAGAAGCACCGGCCAACUACGUGCCAGCAGCCGCGGUAAUACGUAGGGUGCGAGCGUUGUCCGGAAUUAUUGGGCGUAAAGGGCUCGUAGGCGGUUUGUCGCGUCGGGAGUGAAAACCAGGUGCUUAACACCUGGCUUGCUUUCGAUACGGGCAGACUAGAGGUAUUCAGGGGAGAACGGAAUUCCUGGUGUAGCGGUGAAAUGCGCAGAUAUCAGGAGGAACACCGGUGGCGAAGGCGGUUCUCUGGGAAUGACCUGACGCUGAGGAGCGAAAGUGUGGGGAGCGAACAGGAUUAGAUACCCUGGUAGUCCACACCGUAAACGUUGGGCGCUAGGUGUGGGGUCCAUUCCACGGAUUCCGUGCCGCAGCUAACGCAUUAAGCGCCCCGCCUGGGGAGUACGG